rnacentral:rRNA from 1 species
AUUGAACGCUGGCGGCAGGCCUAACACAUGCACGUCGAGCGGAGCGGCGGACGGGUGAGUAAUACCUAGGAAUCUGCCUGGUAGUGGGGGAUCACGUUCGGAAACGGCCGCUAAUACCGCAUACUAUCAGAUGAGCCUAGGUCGGAUUAGCUAGUGGGGGAGGUAAUGGCUCACCAAGGCUACGAUCCGUAACUGGUCUGAGAGGAUGAUCAGUCCCGAUGGAACUGAGAUACGGUCCAGACGCCUACGGUAGUCGUCAGUGGGGAAUAUUGGACAAUGGGCGAAAGCCUGAUCCAGCCAUGCCGCGUGUGUGAAGAAGGUCGUCGGAUUGUAAAGCACUUUCAGUUGGGAGGCGUUACCGACAGAAUAAGCACCGGCUAACUCUGUGCCAGCAGCCGCGGUAAUUC